rnacentral:rRNA from 1 species
CGGGAGCUGACGACCGGCGCACGGGUGAGUAACGCGUAUGCAACUUUCCUGUAACUGGAGGAUAGCCCCUGGAAACGGGGAUUAAUACUGCGUAAUACCUAAAUACCGCAUGGUAUUAAGGUCAAAUCUACGGAGGUUACAGAUGGGCAUGCGUGCCAUUAACUAGAUGGUAAGGUAACGGCUUACCAUGGCAAUGAUGGCUAGGGGUUCUGCAAGGAAGGCCCCCCACACUGGUACUGAGACACGGACCAGACUCCUACGGGAGGCAGCAGUGAGGAAUAUUGGUCAAUGGAGGCAACUCUGAACCAGCCAAGCCGCGUGAAGGAAGACUGUCCUAUGGAUUGUAAACUUCUUUUGUGGCAGAAUAAACUACCGUACUUGUACGGUAUUGCAUGUAUGCCAUGAAUAAGCAUCGGCUAACUCCGUGCCAGCAGCCGCGGUAAUACGGAGGAUGCAGGCGUUAUCCGGAUUUAUUAGGUUUAAAGGGUGUUCAGGCUGCCUGGUAAGUCAGGGGUGAAAGUCGGUUGCUCAACGAUCGAAUUGCCUUUGAAACUGUCAGGCUCGAGUAUGGAUGCGGUAGGCGGAAUGUGUAGUGUAGCGGUGAAAUGCAUAGAUCUUACACAGAACACCGAUUGCGAAGGCAGCUUACCAAACCAGCACUGACGCUGAAGCACGAAAGCGUGGGGAGCGAACAGGAUUCGAUACCCUGGUAGUCCACGCCGUAAACUUUGCUCACUCGCUGUAGGCGAUAGACCGUCAGCGGCCAAGGGAAACCGAUAAGUGAGCCACCUGGGGAGUACGGUCGCAAGGUUGAAACUCAAAGGAAUUGACGGGGACCCGCACAAUCGGUGGAACAGGUGGUUUAAUUCGAUGAUACGCGAGGUACCUUACCUGGGCUUAAAUGUGAAGUGCAUUGAUUGGAAACAAUCAUUUCCUUCGGGACCCUUUACAAGGUGCUGCAUGGUUGUCGUCAGCUCGUGCCGUGAGGUGUCGGGUUAAGUCCCAUAACGAGCGCAACCCCUAUUGUUAGUUACCGGCGCGUAA